rnacentral:snRNA from 1 species
AAAGGUUUUGAAAUAUUUCUUUGA